rnacentral:rRNA from 1 species
AUUGAACGCUGGCGGCAUGCCUUACACAUGCAAGUCGAACGGCAGCAUGAUCUAGCUUGCUAGAUUGAUGGCGAGUGGCGAACGGGUGAGUAAUACAUCGGAACGUGCCCUGUAGUGGGGGAUAACUAGUCGAAAGAUUAGCUAAUACCGCAUACGACCUGAGGGUGAAAGUGGGGGACCGCAAGGCCUCAUGCUAUAGGAGCGGCCGAUGUCUGAUUAGCUAGUUGGUGAGUAAAGGCUCACCAAGGCGACGAUCAGUAGCUGGUCUGAGAGGACGAUCAGCCACACUGGGACUGAGACACGGCCCAGAUUCCUACGGGAGGCAGCAGUGGGGAAUUUUGGACAAUGGGGGCAACCCUGAUCCAGCAAUGCCGCGUGUGUGAAGAAGGCCUUCGGGUUGUAAAGCACUUUUGUCCGGAAAGAAAUCGCACUUACUAAUAUUAGGUGUGGAUGACGGUACCGGAAGAAUAAGGACCGGCUAACUACGUGCCAGCCGCCGCAGUAAUAC